rnacentral:rRNA from 1 species
GACGUAGGGCGCGAGCGUUGUCCGGAUUUAUUGGGCGUAAAGGGCUCGUAGGCGGCUCAGUAAGUCGGGUGUGAAACCUCCAGGCUCAACCUGGAGACGCCACUCGAUACUGCUGUGGCUAGAGUCCGGUAGGGGAGCAUGGAAUUCCUGGUGUAGCGGUGAAAUGCGCAGAUAUCAGGAGGAACACCAGUGGCGAAGGCGGUGCUCUGGGCCGGAACUGACGCUGAUGAGCGAAAGCGUGGGGAGCAAACAGG